rnacentral:rRNA from 1 species
UACGUAGGCAGCAAGCGUUGUUCGGAGUUACUGGCGUAAAGGGUGUGUAGGCGGUUGUUUAAGUUUGGUGUGAAAUCUCCCGGCUCAACCGGGAGGGUGCGCCGAAUACUGAGUGACUAGAGUGCGGGAGAGGAAAGUGGAAUUCCUGGUGUAGCGGUGAAAUGCGUAGAUAUCAGGAGGAACACCGGUGGUGUAGACGGCUUCUGGACCGUAACUGACGCUGAUGCACGAAAGCUAGGGGAGCAAACAGG